GAUGAACGCUAGCGACAGGCUUAACACAUGCAAGUCGAGGGGCAGCGGGGAGUAGCAAUAUUCUGCCGGCGACCGGCGCACGGGUGAGUAACGGGUAUGCAACCUGCCUUUUACAGAGGGAUAACCCGGAGAAAUCCGGACUAAUACCUCAUGGUACCAAUUUACCGCAUGAUAAAUUGGUUAAAGAUUUAUUGGUAGAAGAUGGGCAUGCUUUCCAUUAGGUAGUUGGCAGGGUAACGGCCUACCAAGCCAUCGAUGGAUAGGGGCACUGAGAGGUUUGUCCCCCACACUGGUACUGAGACACGGACCAGACUCCUACGGGAGGCAGCAGUGAGGAAUAUUGGUCAAUGGGCGAGAGCCUGAACCAGCCAAGUCGCGUGAAGGAAGACGGUAUUAUGUAUUGUAAACUUCUUUUGUGAGGGAAUAAAAAGGGGAACGUGUUCCCCAUUGCAUGUACCUUACGAAUAAGCAUCGGCUAACUCCGUGCCAGCAGCCGCGGUAAUACGGAGGAUGCGAGCGUUAUCCGGAUUUAUUGGGUUUAAAGGGUGCGUAGGCGGUUUUUUAAGUCAGUGGUGAAAGUUUGCGGCUCAACCGUAAAAUUGCCAUUGAAACUGAAGGACUUGAGAGUGGUAUAGGUAGGCGGAAUGUGCGGUGUAGCGGUGAAAUGCAUAGAUAUCGCGCAGAACCCCGAUUGCGAAGGCAGCUUACUGGAGCACAUCUGACGCUGAAGCACGAAAGCGUGGGUAUCAAACAGGAUUAGAUACCCUGGUAGUCCACGCUGUAAACGAUGAUUACUAGUUGUUGGCGAUAUACAGUCAGUGACACAGCGAAAGCGUUAAGUAAUCCACCUGGGGAGUACGCCGGCAACGGUGAAACUCAAAGGAAUUGACGGGGGCCCGCACAAGCGGAGGAACAUGUGGUUUAAUUCGAUGAUACGCGAGGAACCUUACCCGGGCUCGAACGGCACAGGAAUAUGUAUGAAAGUAUAUAGCUAGCAAUAGUCUGUGUCGAGGUGCUGCAUGGUUGUCGUCAGCUCGUGCCGUGAGGUGUCGGCUUAAGUGCCAUAACGAGCGCAACCCUUAUCUAUAGUUACCAUCAGGUUAAGCUGGGGACUCUAUGGAGACUGCCACCGUAAGGUGUGAGGAAGGUGGGGAUGACGUCAAAUCAGCACGGCCCUUACGUCCGGGGCGACACACGUGUUACAAUGGAUGGUACAGAGGGUUGCUACUUAGUGAUAAGAUGCUAAUCUCCAAAAGCCAUUCUCAGUUCGGAUCGGAGUCUGCAACUCGACUCCGUGAAGCUGGAUUCGCUAGUAAUCGCGCAUCAGCCAUGGCGCGGUGAAUACGUUCCCGGGCCUUGUACACACCGCCCGUCAAGCCAUGGAAGCCGGGGGGACCUGAAGUACGUAACCGCAAGGAGCGUCCUAGGGUAAAAUCGGUAACUGGGGCU
rnacentral:rRNA from 1 species